CAUUAUUACCUUUGACCACGGAGGCAGAGAGCAUAGCCAUCACAGCUAGCAGCCAACCACUCCUCUCAGAUGAUUUGAAUCAUAGAAUUGAAGAGUUGGAAGUGAUCUUGAGCGUCAUUUGUUCCAACCCCCUGCAAUGGUGUUUCAAGAAGUUCCAACAGCACAGACGAGAAGCGGCAGGAUCCCCCAGUACUUUUGUUGUCCACCUGCAACAAGCAAUAAGAGGCUCUUGGAAUGCACUGCAACAACAGCCACCAAAGGGACCUCCCCUAUGUGACUAAGAGAAGCAGAACAAAUACUUGUAUUUACACAAAUUGAAUGAGCCAUCAAAACUAUUGCACACCUCAAUUUUCAAAACCUUGAAACCCAAAAAGUAUUUGCUGGCAAAUGUAAAUGCACCAUCAAAUCUAAUGUGCACCCUAAUUUUCGUGACGUAAUUUGGCAAAAAAGAGAUGUGCAUUAAAAAGUUAAAGGAC